rnacentral:rRNA from 1 species
GGGGUGCAGCAGUUACGAAAACUUUACAAUGCACGAAAGUGUGAUAGGGGGAUCCUAAGUGAUAUAGCUUAUGGUUAUAUCUGUGGAGGAGUGUAAAUUACUCUUCAAGAAAGGGGUGGGCAAUACCGGUGCCAGCAGCCGCGGUAAUCCCGGAGCCCCGAGUGGUGACCAUGUUUAUUGGGCCUAAAGCGCCCGUAGCCGGAUUAUUAAGUUCUCGGUGAAAUUGUUUGACUUAAUCAAACGAAUGGCCUUGAAUACUGGUAAUCUAGGGAUUGGGAGAGGUCAAGAGUAUGCCUGGGGGAGGGGUAAAAUCCUUUAAUCCUAGGUAGACUACCAAUGGCAUAGGCACUUGACUAGAACAAGUCCGACGGUGAGGGACGAAAGUUAGGGUAGCAAACGGGAUUAGAUACCCCGGUAGUCCUAACUGUAAACGCUGCCCGUUGGGUGUCGCGAAUUCUUCGAGUUUUCGCGGUGCCGUAGUGAAGACGAUAAGCGGGCCGCCUGGGGAGUACGGUCGCAAGGCUGAAACU